UCUGUUGACAUUGAUAUCCCGACAUGACACAUAAGCUUUUACUUUUCUGUCAUAGAUGCCAAACAGGUUGAGGAAGAAGUGCCUGAAAAAGUUGAGAGUGAAGGAGGUGUCGUGUCUGAGGCUGACAAACAGGUUGAGGAAGAAGUGCCUGAAAAAGUUGAGAGUGAAGCAGAUGUCGUGUCUGAGGAUGCUAACCAGGCUGAGGAACAACUGCCUGAAAAGGUUGAGAGUGAAGGAGACUUCGUAUCUGAGGGU